UACAUAUAGAUCGUGAUUGGUGUCCUAUGAGGACUUAAUAGGGAAUUCGGUGUAAAACCGAAGCUGUCCCCGCAACUGUAAGUGCAGACGAAAAGAGCAUGCCACUGUACAAAACGCUUUAUGGCGUUUGUAUGGGAAGGGCUUUAAGUAGAGUGAAGCACAAGCCAGGAGACCUGCCAGGGCGAUCGAAAGUUU
rnacentral:ncRNA from 2 species